AUGCCUUAAACUUAUGAGUAAGGAAAAUAAUGACUCUGGGGGAUGCCCGAAUCCUCACUGCUAAUGUGAGACAAAUUUUUGAGCUACUAAAGUUUGCCCCUAGGAUGACCUACCUACUUUGCAGAAUGCCUGAGAAGAGCAAAAAACUUU
ensembl:snRNA U12 U12 minor spliceosomal RNA